AGUUUGUGUGUUGCCAGUUCUGGGAAGGAAAUAUGAGCCCAAGCUGGCUGCAGCUUGUGGGACAUGGUCCGUGCCACUGUUGCUACAACAACUUCCAGAGGAAACCCGAGAUCCAAACCGUGGUCUGACCUCCAGCUAGGUCGUGUAAUAAGGAUGGCGUCCUCUUUUGGAAACGGUGCCCCAAAUGAUACAGGGAAUCCGGUUGUCCCCGUCAAGGACUCGACACACUCUUUUGGCUCCGAUGACAGCAGAACGAAACGGAGACCUUUAUGAGCUCAGAAGCAAAGAAUUAGUCUUGGCGAGCCUCAUGCUGAGUAGCUCUUUUCUAAACAAAUUCUCAGACAACCCACAAACUCAACCCUUCCAUGUGAAAGAAGGCACUUUCGGAAUGGAUUUACCCUAUAUCAGGCUGUAAUGAAUUUCUAAGGGAUUCCAUUAGAAACGACGGUUUAUCCUACUCUUUGGAGGAAUGCCUGACUCCCUCUGCAUCCUCUGGGGAAGUGGCCAUGCCUAGCGUGAGUAUCCCAGUGGAAGUCAUUAGAUAGUCUUUCACAAGCACUAGUGAUGCCAUCAGAGUAUCUAUUCCACUAGCAGUGAUUGAGAUCCUUGACAGUUACACGGGAAUCCCACUUUAAACUUGGAUAAACUCUUAACUUGCCCAUAAGUUUGAAUUCUCAGCCAGAAAAUCAUCCCUAAAGAGCACCGAUCCUUGGAACGAAUCAGUGGAAAACACUUCGACGGUUUAAGAGACGCUGAAACAGUCUCCUAUGUAUCGCCGUUUCCCCCAGACUCCCCUCCUGUCCCCUAAAACCCUAAAAUGAGUUUUCGCUUUCCCACGCUGAAAAAUGAGUCUUCCAUCCUCACAUUUGGGAAGAAACUGAAAAAGUACUCAAAAAGAAAAAUGACCUGGAAUUUUUCUGAUCCCACUGGAUUUCUAUCCCUUUUCCCUCCUCAUCAGGGACAAGAAUAAAGUCUUCAGAAGGGGAAGACAUGACUCCAGCCCAACACUUGGCUUAAAAAGCUUCCAGGUCAGAGUGGACCGUGGUCGAGGAGACAGUGAAAUUUCCCAUCCAAAACUCCCUGUCAGACAUACUCUUCCCAGCUUCCUCAGGCCAAGAGAGAAGUGGAAACCAUUCCAAUAGGUGGGGAAUGGCUCUAGCUGCCUCGCCUUCAGAUUUCCCGUUUGUUAUUUUCAACUCAUAUCCCCGCAGCCCUGUGCUCUGCCAAUAACCAGAACUAAUGCGCUCCAUCUGAGCUCAGCACCGUGGUGGCUCAUAGACACGAACACUCUCCCCGCUCCUCAAAUCUCUUCGGCCGCCUUAAAAACUAAUUCGGACCAGACAAAUCCCAACCCCAGUCGGUCCGCUUUGUCAGCCCCAUGGAACCCUCCCUCCCACACUUCCCCACUUUCUUGGAAGCGGGACCGCUCGCUUGGUGCCUGAGAGCAGAAAUUAAAAAGGAAAAGAAAUGU